GAGUGUACGGAAUAUCUCUCUCUCUCUCUCUCUCUCUCUCUCUCUCUCUCGGUGGGAGGUCCUUCGGAGGACUAUUUAAACAUGGCCGGACACUUCCUUUGACAUCAGUCUUGUCCAAGACACCAAACUGAGAAGAUGCAGUCUGUCACCCUCAUUUUCGCCGUCCUCCUCAUCGUUGGAGUUAUAGUGUCUGUGGAACCACAGUUCUACAGACUUCCUUUCUACGCUUCCAGAAGUGUCUUUCCCAAGAGGGACUUCUUGUCUCUACUUCUCCCUCACGAGGAAGACCGGUAUUGGCACGGAUAUGACAUGUAUGGCUAUUCCAGAACCGGUUGAAGGAUCCUCGGGAAACAGCUAGUUUGACGGUUAUGAUCCCAUCAUUACAAGAACAACAGAUCCUCCAACUUGACUCUGUAUUCACCAAUAAGCUUCGGACUGGAAAAUUCUAUGUAUAUACAACUUCACAUACAUUUGUGCUCCGCAAAACCUUUCAACAUGUUAUAUCAGUGACAGUUACAAAAUAACACAAUAACGUCCAUUAUAUCACUCUUACAACUAACAAUAAGAUGUUCCUAUUUAUUGACGUGGGUUUUUUUAUUCAGUUCUAAGAUGAACACAAUGUAUAGAAUGCAAUGAUUGUAAUAAAAUUACUUUCUACGUG